GAUGAACGCUGACAGAAUGCUUAACACAUGCAAGUCUUUGGCGAAGCUGUGCUUGCACAGCCUAGCCAAGGCGGACGGGUGAGUAACGCGUAAGGAACUUGCCCUGCAGUCAGGGAUAACAGACGGAAACGACUGAUAAGACCUGGUAAAGUCAGGCGGACUCAUGUCCAGCCUGAUGAAAAGAGAUGCUGCAGGAGAGCCUUGCGUCCUAUUAGCUUGUUGGUGGGGUAACGGCCCACCAAGGCGAUGAUAGGUAGCCGGCCUGAGAGGGUGGACGACCACAAGGGGACUGAGAUACGGCCCUUACUCCUACGGGAGGCAGCAGUGGGGAAUAUUGGACAAUGGGGGCAACCCUGAUCCAGCAAUUCUAUGUGCACGAUGAAGGUUUUCGGAUUGUAAAGUGCUUUCAGCAGGGAAGAAAAAAUGACGGUACCUGCAGAAGAAGCGACGGCUAAAUACGUG
rnacentral:rRNA from 1 species